rnacentral:rRNA from 1 species
GAACCGAUGUGCGAUUAGCUAGUUGUAGGGUAAUGGCUACCAAGGCGACGAUCGCUAGCUGGUCUGAGGGGAUGAUCAGCCACACUGGAACUGAGACACGGUCCAGACUCCUACGGGAGGCAGCAGUGGGGAAUAUUGGACAAUGGGCGCAAGCCUGAUCCAGCAAUGCCGCGUGUGUGAAGAAGGCCUUCGGGUUGUAAAGCACUUUUAUCAGGAGCGAAAUACUACCGGCUAAUAUCCGGUGGGGCUGACGGUACCUGAGGAAUAAGCACCGGCUAACUUCGUGC